rnacentral:lncRNA from 1 species
AGGCUUAAGAGAACUACAAUAGUACUCCCUUUGGUCGUCGAUAUUAGAUGACAGGAUUGAUAAAGUAAGUAGUAAAUUUACUGCUCUACCCCUGCUAAUUGCUGACGAGAAAGCAAUAAAUCAGUGUACCCUGUUCGUCUGACCGUUCCUCAAUUACUCUCCCUGUUCUUUGCCGUUGAAUGCUGCUUUCCACAUCGCUGUGCUUGCCAUCCACCGGCAUGGCUCCACCAGUACUGUGCCCACUGCCCAGUGACCUCAUCCACUAUUUUUUUUAGAUUAUGGAAACAAAAUGUUCUAGCCUUUUGCAAUCUCUUGCAUAUGGCCUUACAAAUCGAAAAAAAGACAACCAUCCAUCAUAAACAUACUCAGAAGGAAAACAUCAACAAAUCAAGCUCCCUCUAAUCUAGCGUUGGACCACCUCUAAAUAUCGACAUACCGCAAGGACUUCGUGUUGAGAUUGUUCUUUCUGCAACAAUCUCCAGAAUCUGAGCCAUCAUGUUGCCCUGAAAAGAACCUGCAUAAUUGAUGAUUUUGGUUUAAAAGUAAAGACAACAUCAUUGCGACAAAGUCAAAUAGACCAAAACAUUGCCGCCACUUCAAUUAGGAGUUUUUUUCUUUGUGUUGUUCCCUUGUUAGCAAUCCAGGACCCAAUUAUAUAAUUAAUAUUGUUCGAUUCUCUAUAUUUAUGGCAAAGUAAAUAAUUCUCUAAAUAUUUCUAGUAAGGUAACAAUCAAAUAACAGAUGUUGAAUAGACACAUUUUGAUUACAAAAGCUGCAUUUUAAACAACCUUUCCAACCUCGCUUAGCUAAUUUGUCUUUAGCUAAUGUCCCUGGUUCCCGGUGUUCACUUCCUCCGCUGAUAGUGUUAUGCUCAGCCAAAAGGGAUGGCAAUCGAACAUUGAUUUGAGAAAGUGAAUUGCUGAGAUCAAAUGGAUCGUGUUUGGAUGACUCUCAUGUUUCUCAUCUAAUCCAUCAGAGUACAGCAUGCUACACCACCGUUAAGAACCCCUUGACCUGCAUUGGUGCCCUCACUGAAGCUCGAACCUCCAUCAUGACUGGACCUCAGAUCUGAAAGGAGAGGAAGAAAGAUGAAUGUAUGGAGUGUGGGAUGUUCAAGAUAAGGGCUUCCACCAGUAAGCUUGCACCUGAGACGUGAACAUGACCUUGUGGGCUACAAUAUUCAGCUGUGUCUCCACAAACGGCCUCAUCCAGGCAAUCUUUGCCUGAAGCACACUGGCUGCUAGCCAACUACUGCUCAUUCCGAGCUGUACUGUACCUGAGGAUACUGUGAGGAGCAUGUUUGGAGGACAGGGACUGCCACUGCCAGCCAGGAGAUGGUGGUAUCGACGGCAUGAGACAACAUGGAACUCAUGGUGGGUGCCUCUGUUAUUGUUGCCAGGUUAUUGUUGCCAGGUUAGACCAUGUACAACCCAGAGCCCUUGGUUCAGUUUUUCAAGUAUAGGAAACAGUUAAUAGACUGCAUAAUACAAUCAAGAGCCCCUACAUCAUAAAUGUAGUGAAGAGAAUAUAUAUAGAAAGUCGUGUAGAGAAGGGCUCUUCGUGACGUCUCUUGGUUUUUUUUCACUAAACCCCCUAAUUAAUGGGGUGAGCAGGGGCAUUAGUGGAUAUGAUGCGUUUAAUUCGGCCAAUUUUUUCCAGUGACAAGUACUGUUGCACUUUUCCAGAAUCUCAGAAACAUCAGGUAUUAUUGACUGGAGGGAGUAUAUUCAAAGUUUUCAAGUUAGUGCUUCUAAAGCUUUCAGAGUAGGUAAUUUUGGACCUUUUGUCAGGAAAAGUGUGCGUCUAGACAGUUUUUGAAUUUAUGUUUACGUUGAACAUAUUUACAGGCGUCUGUAGAACUGCUUACCAGUUUACCACAUGAGUAUUAUGUUGCAAACAGCCAUUUCAUGGCUUUAUGUGGCACUUGGAAACCUUGUUGAGCUUCAAUCAGGUGGAGUAAUUUGCAACAGUAUGCACAGAGCUAGUGUUUUCAUUUGGUGGAACUUAUUUAAAGCUCAGCCUUCGUUUAUGUUAGUAAUAUCUUACUCUUUUUUUUGGGGGCAUCUUUCUUCAUCCACCGAAGUAACUUUUUUUGGCAUAAUGGUGGUGGUGGUUGUUGUGCUAUUCCAAAUAAGAAAAGUAGUUGGUAAGUAUUUAGGCCAUAAGGCCUCUUUAGAAUAUAUAGAUGUGAGAAAGAAUAAAAACACGCUGCAAAGUCAUAGCCCCAGAGGAAUGUAGUAGGAAAUGCAGAAAAAAGGUGGAGGAAUUGUGUUUGAAUUGGUAGUUGAGAAAACAUAGGAACUUAGAGGACACUGCAAUACUUUUAACCAAAUGUGAUACGUAUACAUUUUAGUCAACGUGCAACGGGAAACUGUGAAAACAAAACCUGUAAAUCUGUCUAUUUAUAUUACUUUUCUCUGUCCAUGUCUCUCUGUCCUCCUUUUUCCUCGUUUCUCUUCUUAUAUUAAGAGCACAAGCACCUGGACCAACAUUUCUCCCUACCAAACAACACAACCUGCCAACACCCAUGGGUUCCUUAUAAGCAAGACCCUUUGUCUUCACCCUUUUUUUUAAUCCUUUCUUCAAGUGUCAUACAGUGAUUUAUUUGUUUAAGUGUAGCAUCCUGUUCUAAAUACGUGAGUUGCAUCUUCUUGAGUCCAUUCUACGCUGUGGAUUCAUAUCUCAACAUCGUGUUCUUUCAUGCUUCAUUUAUGAGCAUAGAUAACAAUGCCAUGGAAGAUGUAGUUCUUGCUUGACAAUUAUUGUGAUGGUAACUUGGAUGAUGAAUAAUGUAUGUUCAAAUAGAAGUAGGCCGGUGCAUGACAAUUGAUUGAUUCCAAAGCCUAGUCACCAUCGUCUGUGGAUAAUUUGAAGAAUUAAGAGCACAUAUGUCCUCUAAAGAUCUAGUUCGGAUAUGUCAAACCAUGUGCAGCUUGCCAUCUCUGAGACAACUGCACAUAGACUAAUUAAUUAUUAUUUUUUUUCCUUCGGAAUAUCAAAAGGAAGGAAGAAAGGAACCUGCAACCAACUACGCUGAAGUGUUUGCUGCGACAGCUGAAAUUGAUAUGUAACUGACUAACUGCCAAUCCGACGAUGACCACCUUUUGUCUGAUUUUAUAAUCAAACAAAAGUUACAAUCUAUUUACCAUCAAAGAUGAAUAUGAAUUCACGCUCAGAAUGGAUACUUACUAGUUACUACCAUAAAACAGCUCGACUUUCCUCUGAGUGCAGCCAUGAAAACCACAGUAGGAAAAAUCUUCUCUAACGCCAUUGUUUCCUUACGUGCUCAGGC